AGCAAUGUUUGACCUGAAGAGUAAAAUAAUCAAAUAAGGUAGAAAUCAUGGACAAUAGGAGAUGGUCUUGUUCUUCUCUCUAUAACAAAUUGUCUGUAUAAUUCUGCUAGAUAAAGAUAGACUACAAUGUAUGAGAAUCAGAAUAGCUCCAUCCAUGACGUCCGCUUCCAGAAAUAUUAAUUACUUGUUGAAGCAGAGAAUAACUGAAUCAAAUGAUUUUAAUGUUAUCUAUUUAGACACAAACACCCAGCAAUGUUUGACCUGAAGAGUAAAAUAAUCAAAUGUACACUAGGAGAUGGUCUCUCUCUCUCUCUCUCUCUCUCUCUCUCGCGGCUCGAAAACAGCAAAAGCACAGGAAGAUUUUUGACAUAGCUCAUCAAUGCUAAUAGAAGAGAUGACGGACUCUCUCUCUCUCUCUCUCUCUUAAAGUCUUGUACUGUAACUUUCACUUUAUCCAACCGAUGUUUAUACUCAAUUGCAGCUGUAGUAGCUUGGUUCUCACUGAAGAUUCGGUUUAAUGAGGAAUCACAGUGUAUCUGAACCAAAUCAUCUAAACUGCAUGUACAACGCUCCAAAGCAAGGUAGACAAAAUCUUUAUCAUACUCCACCCCAUACCAUCGAACGAUAUUUGGAUGCCUGUCUGAUGCAAUAAGAUUCUGAAUUUCUUUGAAAGCCACAUCAUGAUGAGCUUGAACCAAACGUUUCACUGCAACAGAUCGACCUUCAUAUAUACCUUCAAGGACAAUGGUACCAUUGCUUCCCUUAGCAAUUUCUGAAUUUGAUGCAAAUAAUUUACCAAUUCUACGUCCAUCAACACCACCAUCAACAAGUUUAUUAAGGUCCAACACUGUUUUGUCCUCGAAAACAGCAAAAGCAUAGGAAGAUUUUUGGCAUACCUCAUCAAUGCUAAUAGAAGAGAUGAUGGAUAACCGUUUGACUUCCACAAAUUAAAGUCUUGUACUGUAACUUUCACUUUAUCCAACCGAUGUUUAUACUCAAUUGCAGCUGUAGUAGCUUGGUUCUCACUGAAGAUUCGGUUUAAUGAGGAAUCACAGUGUAUCUGAACCAAAUCAUCUAAACUGCAUGUACAACGCUCCAAAGCAAGGUAGACAAAAUCUUUAUCAUACUCCACCCCAUACCAUCGAACGAUAUUUGGAUGCCUGUCUGAUGCAAUAAGAUUCUGAAUUUCUUUGAAAGCCACAUCAUGAUGAGCUUGAACCAAACGUUUCACUGCAACAGAUCGACCUUCAUAU
rnacentral:lncRNA from 1 species